UGACGGUGUUCGCCCUCGGCGAAUGAAAAGGGAAUCCGGUGAUGGCCCAUGGGUCAAAAUCCGGAACUGUUCCCGCAACUGUAAUCCGGCAAGGUUUGCUGUGAUGCCACUGCCUCAGCCCCGAACGAGGUGGGAAGGUGCAGCGAAUACGCCGGUAAGUCAGGAGACCUGCCGUCACGU
rnacentral:ncRNA from 1 species